GGAGAGAUGGCUGAGUGGUCGAAAGCGCCUUCCUGCUAAGAAGGUAACCCCCGAAAAGGGGUUCGAGGGUUCGAAUCCCUCUCUCUCCGCCA
rnacentral:tRNA from 1 species